GGAGAAUCGAUCGAUGAUUGUGAGUAUGACCGUGUUUCCUUGGGAUAGGGGUAAGUCUGUGAUGAAGUCUAUGGCAAGGUGUGACCAGGGUCGUUGUGGGAUAGGAAGAGGUUGAAGGAGUCCAGCUGGUAGUUGACGAGGGGUUUUGUGCAUGUUACACGUCUGACAGUUCUGAAUGAAUUUAAUAGUGUCGGGGUUGAUUGUUUCCCACCAGAAGCGGUUCUUGAGGAGAUGGAGUGUGGCUGUGAUGCCGGGGUGACCAGAGGCAGGAAGACAGUGGAUAUGAUCCAGGACUUGAUCACGGUAGGGGGCAGGGUCAUUAUAUCCCACUGGAUGGGAGCAACCACCACCUGGAAGGGCAAGAUGCGUUCGGGGGUUGAGAUGGAGGGGUCGUCAUCAUGGAUACGUGACAAAGCAUCGGCUUUAGUAUUCUUGGAACCUGGGCGAUAUGUGACAUUGAACUGAAACCGGGAGAAGAACAAGGACCAUCUGGCUUGGCGUGGG
ensembl:lncRNA